UGAGAGGGUUUCUCUUGGCGGCCGGUCGCUGAGGAGUGUGUGCAGAGUUCAUUCUGGAGGAGAGCGCAGUGUAUUUCCUCAGGGUCUUCAAGUGGGAGAGGAAGAGAGGGCAGGAUGAGCAGAAUGCUGAAGGUCUUGCCAAUUUGGACAAGACCCAGUCGGAGACAGAUUACACCAAAUCACAUAUCAACCGUAAUCAAUCAAGCCCCUGGAAGACAUCACUCUCACAAUGAAUAAUUACCACAAUCCAGUUAAGCGCUGCCAGUGCCAGAUUUUUGCCACCGCUGUUUCUUAACGACAGCUUGGGCCCAGGGUUUAACUUUGAGGGGGAAACAUCUCAAAGUUUUCAGGGUGUGUUCGCAUCUAUGGACUUCUGAAGGAGGUGGAGGUAUGGAGUGAUGAAGGGAACAGAAAGAGAGAUGACAAAAAAAAGA